rnacentral:rRNA from 1 species
CCCUUAGAUGUUCUGGGCUGCACGCGCGCUACACUGACGCACACAACGAGUCUCCUAGCUCGAGAGGGCUGGGUAAUCAUUUGAGAGUGCGUCGUGAUGGGGAUAGAAUAUUGUAAUUAUUACUCUUCAACGAGGAAUUCCUAGUAAGCGCGAGUCAGCAGCUCGCGUUGAUUACGUCCCUGCCCUUUGUACACACCGCCCGUCGCUCCUACCGAUUGAAUGGUCCGGUGAAGCGUUCGGACCGUGGCCUUUGGACGGUUCGCCGUCUGUUGGCUGCGGGAAGUUCGUUAAACCUUAUCAUUUAGAGGAAGGAGAAGUCGUAACA